GGUAUCAUAAAAUAUGCUUGAACUUGGGUUAAUUCCUCUUGGACUGAAUUGUAGUGCCAUAAACCAAGCUUUUCAAAAAGAUUGGAUGCAAAACUAUUAUGGCAACAGGAAUUUUUAUCAACAUAAAGCAGGAUUUAAUGCAGGCCCUGUUUCCACAUGGGUCUGCCCAUUGCUAGUGUGGAACUCUAGAAGGAAUAUGGUCUUUGGAAAUGAAUUUUAACUUUGCCACAAGCCAGCUGUGUGAGCUUGGAAUUCGACAAAAUUGAGUAAAUGUAUUGAUGGUGUUGAGAGCCAGGGUACUCACAGAAGGGAGAUGCAAAUAUAGAAUAAGGAUGGUGAAGAACCUUAUGAGUUUGGAUUAAAAUUGGUUGUAACAAAAUGACUUCAGGGUUUCUAACGAAACAUAAUAUCUAAAUGUAAUACAUAAUCCUAGACUGGACCCUAGAAUGAAGAGAAAAAGUAUAUUAUAAAUGAUGUUGUUCGAACAAUUGGCAUAAUGGCAAUAUGCACUAUAGAUUUUUUAAAAAUUAGAUAAAAGUAUUGUAUCAAUGUUACACUUAUUGCAUUUGAUAAUUAUAUUGUAGUUAUAUAAGCAAAUAUUCUUGUUCUCAGGCAAUACAUGCUGAGGAAUUAAGCAAAACUUUCAGAGAAAGAAUAAUAAAAUACAUUUUGCAAAAUGUUAAAAAAUUGGAUAAAGAAUAUUUUUUAAACAUUUCUGUAGGUUUAAAAUUAUUUCAAAAUAAUAAGUCAAAAAGUUAUGUAUCACAUUCUGAAUUGUUCCUUGUUACCUUGCUUGUCUGUAUCAUUAUGUUGUAAUUUUCCCAUGUUUUUCAACCUUUCUACCCUUUCUAUGAUUUUGUGAAUACUUGGAAAGCACAUCAUGUGUUCUUACUCUUCAGAGUUUGCUAUCUUCUGAUUAUUUUGGUCACAUUUUGCUGAUUUAAUUUGGUGUAAAUAUAAAGCAAGUAUUUGUGAAGUAUAAUAUCUUAAUUGGCCCCAAACAUGUUCUCAUCACACACAUUUUUAAAGAGAGAGAGUGAAAUCUUGCUUCAUAGAAAGUGAAUCACAGCUGGGUGUGGUGGCUUACACCUGUAAUUGAAGCACUUUGGGAGGCUGAGGCAGGCAGAUCACUUUAGGCCAGGAGUUCGAGACCAGACUGGCCAACAUGGUGAAAUCCGAUCUCUACUAAAAAUACAAAAAUUAGCUGCAUGUGGUGGCAUGUACCCGUAAUCCCAGCUACUCAGGGGGCUGAGGCAGGAAAAUCGCUUGAACCCGGGAGGUGGAGGUUGCAGUGAGCCAAAAUGGUGCCACUGCACUGUAGCCUGGACAACAGAGCAAGACUCCAUCUCAAAAAAAAAAAAAAAAAAAAAAAAAGAAAGUGAAUCUCAUUUGGAAAUCUGAGGGCAAAACUGACCUAUGUGAUAUUUUAAUAAUUUUCACAUUCUAUCUUAUUCUUAUUUCCCAAAUGGUUUAUAUAUAUAUAUAUAUAUGACUUAUGUUUGAAAGUUCUUAUAGAAUGCUAACAGCCAUUAAAAAUAUAUGUCAGGAGGAAUCAGAGGCAAAAUAUAUUUUUGGUAAAAAUAUGCCAUAUUUACAUCUGUCUAAAAGAAAAUAUGUAGGUUGCUUACCAAAAUACUGGAUUUAACAUCUUACAUAAAACAUUGGGCAUUCAGUGACUGACACUGUCAUGAAGUGUCAAGGAGUUAAGUAAAGGGAGGACCCGUUGUCAAUUAUGACUAUAGGAAGGUCAUAAUUUUAUUUAAAGAAAAGAGGGAGCAGAGCUGUAGAAGGUCGAUAUCAGAGUGUUCACUGAGAGGCAAAGAAAAACAGGACCAGAUUAACAAGAUUUACCUGUGGACACUAAUAAGAAUUCAGAACCAAGAAGGUGAAGUGUCAAUAGAUAGCAGACUGCAUGGACAUGAAAUGUGAUCUUCAUAGGAAAAGGACGAUUUUCAUACCCACAUUGAUAUGGGUUACCAUCAGUUCCUUAAUGAGGAGAAACUGAAGACAAAUAUCAGAAUGCUGAAUAUUACAUAGUUUAUAUAGAAGUAAAAAAUGUACAUAGUUAUUAUUAUAGAAUAUGGAUUUCAUCAUUAUGAAUAAAUCCUUUAGUCAGUCUCAUAAAUUUCCUACUUAAAAGCACAUGUAAAUAUUGUAUAUGGCGCUUGCAUUGGACAGAGCAUGCUCUAUAGACAAAAUUCUGGUCCUUAAAUUAACCAAAACUAAGUAAGUGACCUUUUCAGAAUAUGUAUUUUCUGCAUAUUGUAUGUUAUUCUCUGAGUAUUUAUUUUAAAACUUGACUUGUUUUAAAAUAAAAAUUUUGAUGUUUUUUGCAUUGUCUUAAAAUUGUUGACAAUGGUCUAGUGAAGCCUUUUCAGUGUUCUAUCCUUUAUGAGAAAUAAAUAAAUGAAAUAACACAAUUGAUAGGACAAUGCUUAAAAGUGUGUGUGCAUGCAUGUGUGUGUGUGUUUGUGUUGCUAGAAAGUUAGUGUGACUGGCUUUAUGACAUGUAAUUUAAAACAGAAUAAAAGCAUUCCAAUAAUUAGUAUAUUUUGCAUAUGGGCAUUCCUUUGCUUACUAAUCUAGAAGAUUCCUAUAUUUUAUAAAUAAAAGCAAUACCUGGAACCAGUGGUUUCUUGGGUAAACUGUGCUUUCUUUGAUUGUGCAGUGAAGUAUAUUCU
rnacentral:lncRNA from 1 species